rnacentral:rRNA from 1 species
AUUGAACGCUGGCGGCAGGCCUAACACAUGCAAGUCGAACGAGAGGCGUAAGGGUGAGCAAUGUCUGGGAAACUGCGUGAUGGAGGGGGAUAAGUACUGGAAACGGUAGCUAAUACCGCAUACCAUCAGAUGUGCCCAAAUGGGAUUUGCUGGUGGGUGGGGUAAAGGCCCACCUAGGCGACGAUCCCUAGCUGGUCUGAGAGGAUGACCAGCCACACUGGAACUGAGACACGGUCCAGACUCCUACGGGAGGCAGCAGUGGGGAAUAUUGCACAAUGGGCGCAAGCCUGAUGCAGCCAUGCCGCGUGUAUGAAGAAGGCCUUCGGGUUGUAAAGUACUUUCAGCGGGGAGGCGUUACCCGCAGAAGAAGCACCGGCUAACUCCGUGCCAGCAGCCGCGGUAAUUC